UGCGGAUAUGGCGGAAUUGGCAGACGCGCUGGUUUUAGGUACCAGUGGGCUUCCCGUGCAGGUUCAAGUCCUGUUAUCCGCAUCC
rnacentral:tRNA from 1 species